AUCAUGUGUUUAUUGAGUGCCUGUUAUGUGCUAAAUAUUGUUCAGGGGACGUGGGACCCAGCAGAGGACACGGGGAGUCCUGCCCUCGUGGAGCGUACAGUCUAUUGCACUGCUGUGACCUUGGGCAAGUCACUGCACCCCUCGACCGGCCCAGCAGAUAGACCUGGACGUGGUGCAGAUGCUGACCAGGACAGCGCUCUGACCCACCACCCCAGACAGCAGAGAGGGCUGCAGGUUCAUCUUUAAUAAUCAAGUACACGGGGGAGGAGGGAGAGGAAGAGGGCUAUACGAGCUGCUGCUGCUGCUGCUUGGUGGCGGCCUUGUUGGCCAGGUCCUUGGCCUUCUCUGUAGCUGCCAGUGCGGUCUCCUUUGCUUUCUCUUUGGCCUCCUUGGCUGUCUCAACAAGUGUUUUUGAAGGGGCCUCACCUGUGGCAAUGACAGGGGCUGGCUUCAGAUGCCCAGCCCAGCCCCCAACCUCUUACCUGGACAGCUCUGGAGACACCAAAUAAGCUAGAGGAGACCCAGGCCUCCCGACGGAUUUCGGUCCAGCCGCUAUUGUCAGAGUUCACACAGUAAACACAUCGUUCCUCACCAUCAGCCGGGCGUGGUUGAUGUUCCAAGUGAAGGUGGUCAUGGUCUGAUUCUGUGGGUCCACAAUCGAGUCCUCCAGGAUGUACACCGAGUGAGCAACGUUGGCGGGAAACAGUCGCUCUGCCCAACGUGGCAUCCUGUUGGUCUUGGUCAGGAGUCUCCGGGACAGAAGCUUCUGGUCAGGGGUCACCUCCCGGUGCACUAUGUCUUCGGUUAAGACAUGGAUUCGGGUACCGUUGCCAGAAGGCAGCGAACACUUGGUCCCAGGAACUUCGGAGCACGCUCUGGCCCAGGAAAUACUUCACCAUCGUCCCGACCCGGGCGGGCUCAGCACCCGUGCAGCAUCAGGGUGAAGAGCCCGGGGGUGGGGAGGGCACGUGGCAAGGCGCACGCCCGCCAGGCUCGCAGCUCAAUCACCGCGGCGCCGCGCCCAGGUCCCUACCGCCGCCAUGAGAGGCUAUAGGACU
rnacentral:lncRNA from 1 species